rnacentral:rRNA from 1 species
GUGCCAGCAGCCGCGGUAAUUCCAGCUCCAAUAGCGUAUAUUAAAGUUGCUGCGUUUAAAAAGCUCGUAGUUGGAUCUCGGUUCCAGGCUUGCGGUCCGCCUCGAGGUGGAUACUGCUCGUCCUGUGUUCGACGUCGUGGUGGUUCCUUGGUGCUCUUGACUGAGUGUCUCGGACGGUCCCGAACGUUUACUUUGAAAAAAUUAGAGUGCUCAAAGCAGGCGUAUCGCCUGAAUAAUUCCGCAUGGAAUAAUGGAAUAGGACCUCGGUUCCAGUUUCGUUGGUUUGCGAAUCCUUGAGGUAAUGAUUAAUAGGGACUGCCGGGGGCAUACGUAUUGCGGCGGGAGAGGUGAAAUUCGUGGAUCGCCGCAAGACGAACGACAGCGAAAGCAUUUGCCAAGAAUGUUCUCAUUAAUCAAGAACGAAAGUCAGAGGUUCGAAGACGAUCAGAUACCGUCGUAGUUCUGACCCUAAACGAUGCCGACCGUCGAUCCGCCGGAGUUACUACCAUGACUCGGCGGGAAGCCUCCGGGAAACCAAAGUCUUUGGGUUCCGGGGGGAGUAUGGUUGCAAAACUGAAACUUAAAGGAAUUGACGGAAGGGCACCACCAGGAGUGGAGCCUGUGGCUUAAUUUGACUCAACACGGGAAACCUCACCCGGUCUGGACACUGCAAGGAUUGACAGAUUGAGAGCUCUUUCUUGAUUCGGUGAGUGGUGGUGCAUGGCCGUUCUUAGUUGGUGGAGCGAUUUGUCUGGUCAAUUCCGAUAACGAACGAGACUCUAGCCUGCUAAAUAGUUCGGGGACCCCCACAAAGGGGCCCCGCUUUAACUUCUUAGAGGGACAGGUGGCGUUUAGCCACACGAGAUUGAGCAAUAACAGGUCUGUGAUGCCCUUAGAUGUCCGGGGCCGCACAUGCGCUACAAUGAACGGUUCAACGUGCUUAUUGCCUUGCCCGAGAGGGCUGGGAAAUCCGCUGAACCCCGUUCGUACCAGGGAUUGGGGAUUGCAAUUGUUCCCCAUGAACGAGGAAUUCCCAGUAAGCGCGAGUCAUUAGCUCGCGUUGAUUACGUCCCUGCCCUUUGUACACACCGCCCGUCGCUACGACCGAUUGUUCCAGUUAAUGAGCGAUAUGGAUGAGUCCCGUGAUCGGCUUGYCCGUGAUCGUUGGGCUGAGAAGUUGGACAAAUUAUCUGGGGUAGAGGACGUAAAAGUCGUACCAAGGUA